rnacentral:rRNA from 1 species
CCUACGGGUGGCAGCAGUGAGGAAUAUUGGUCAAUGGGCGAGAUCCUGAACCAGCCAAGCCGCGUGAGGGAAGACGGCCCUAUGGGUUGUAAACCUCUUUUGUCGGAGAACAAAACCCGGGACGCGUCCCCGACUGCGUGUACCCUAAGAAAAAGCAUCGGCUAACUCCGUGCCAGCAGCCGCGGUAAUACGGAGGAUGCGAGCGUUAUCCGGAUUUAUUGGGUUUAAAGGGUGCGUAGGCGGUCCGUUAAGUCAGCGGUAAAAGUGCGGGGCUCAACCCCGGCGAGCCGUUGAAACUGGCAGGCUGGAGUUGGCGAGAAGUACGCGGAAUGCGCGGUGUAGCGGUGAAAUGCAUAGAUAUCACGAAGAACUCCGAUUGCGAAGGCAGUUCACUGGACUGCAACUGACACUGAGGCUCGAAAGUGUGGGUAUCAAACAGGAUUAGAUACCCUGGUAGUC